rnacentral:lncRNA from 1 species
UAAGUAAGAAAACAUAAUUAGUAAUCACGCUUUUACGUAUAAACGGUGGUACUAAUCAUGCUUUUGACCUAUUAUUUAAUUGUUAUUUGCAAAGUAAUUCUAUAUCAUUUUAAUCAGCAAAGCAAUAUAAAAAUGUAGUUAGUAGCCACGCUUUCUUAAAUGCAAAGUUAACGACUUUACUUUCACACAUCCCGAUAACAAAGUAAAAUCAACUCUAAGUAAAAUUUUUGACAUAUAGGGGUCGUUUGGCUGCCGGAUAGCAUCAGGAAAUAAGCUUUAGAGGGGGAAUAAGUUUUAGAGUGGGAUAACUUUUAACUUUAUUUGGAUGGAGUAUUAAAUAGGGAGAUAACUUUUAACUUUGUUUGGAUACUUUUUAGAAUGAGUGGAUAAGGGCAGGGGAUAAGGAAGAAAAAAUGUCAAAUGAUAU